CUCAGCUUUCCUGUCUCCAGUGUCAGCCAGGAGCUGCAGGACAUCUUUGAGAUGCUGCUGGACUUCACCAGAGCUGAGAGAGUUGUGUGGGAGAGGGCUGUGGGCAGGAUUGGUGUCCUGACCCUUUUGCCAUCCAAUUAUUCCACUCUGGAGAGCGAUCUGAAGACACCUACAGGGCAGAUGGAGGAGUCCCGUGGUCGGAC